rnacentral:rRNA from 1 species
AUACGGAGGAUGCGAGCGUUAUCCGGAUUUAUUGGGUUUAAAGGGUGCGCAGGCGGCCACUUAAGUCAGCGGUUAAAUCGUGGGGCUCAACCCCAUUCUGCCGUUGAUACUGGGUGGCUUGAUUGCGGUCGAGGUUGGCGGAAUUCGUUGUGUAGCGGUGAAAUGCAUAGAUAUGACGAAGAACACCGAUUGCGUAGGCAGCUGACCAGACCGCAAAUGACGCUCAUGCACGAAAGUGCGGGGAUCGAACAGGAUUAGAUACCCUGGUAGUCCGCACAGUAAACGAUGAAUACUUGUUUUCGGCGAUAUAAUGUCGGAGGCAAAGCGAAAGCGAUAAGUAUUCCACCUGGGGAGUACGCCGGCAACGGUGAGACUCAAAGGAAUUGACGGGG